GACGAACGCUGGCGGCGUGCCUAACACAUGCAAGUCGAGCGAUGAAAUCCCUUCGGGGAUGGAUUAGCGGCGGACGGGUGAGUAACACGUGGGCAACCUACCUCAAAGGGGGGGAUAGCCUCCCGAAAGGGAGAUCAAUACCGCAUAACAUUAGUUUUUCACAUGAGGAACUAAUUAAAGGAGUAAUCCGUUUUGAGAUGGGCCCGCGGGGCAUUAGCUAGUUGGUGAGGUAAGGGCUCACCAGGGCGACGAUGCGUAGCCGGCCUGGGAGGGUGGUCGGCCACAUUGGAACGGGGAAACGGUCCAGACUCCUACGGGAGGCAGCAGUGGGGAAUAUUGCACAAUGGGGGAAACCCUGAUGCAGCAACGCCGCGUGAGUGAUGAAGGUCUUCGGAUUGUAAAGCUCUGUCUUUUGGGACGAUAAUGACGGUACCAAAGGAGGAAGCCACGGCUAACUACGUGCCAGCAGCCGCCGUAACAC
rnacentral:rRNA from 1 species